rnacentral:misc_RNA from 1 species
GAUGAAGAACGUAGCGAAAUGCGAUAAGUAGUGUGAAUUGCAGAAUUCAGUGAAUCAUCGAAUCUUUGAACGCACAUUGCGCCCCUUGGUAUCCCGAGGGGCAUGCCUGUUCGAGCGUCAUUUCAACCAUCAAGCCCCCGGCUUGUGUUGGGGACCUGCGGCUGCCGCAGGCCCUGAAAUGCAGUGGCGGGCUCGCUGUCACUCCGAGCGUAGUAGUUACAUCUCGCUCUGGGCGUGCUGCGGGUUCCGGCCGUUAAAAGCCUUAUUUACCCAAGGUUGACCUCGGAUCAGGUAGGAAGACCCGCUGAACUUAAGCAUAUCAAUAAGCGGAGGA